AAUGAACGCUGGCGGCGCGCCUAAUACAUGCAAGUCGAGCGAGAAGACGUAGCAAUACGUUUGUAAAGCGGCGAACGGGUGAGGAAUACAUGGGUAACCUACCCUCGAGUGGGGAAUAACUAGCCGAAAGGUUAGCUAAUACCGCGUACGCUCCUUGGACUUCGGUUCAGGGAGGAAAGCGAUACCGUGGGUAUCGCGCUCUUGGUUGGGCUCAUGUCCUAUCAGCUUGUUGGUGAGGUAACGGCUCACCAAGGCUUCGACGGGUAGCUGGUCUGAGAGGACGAUCAGCCACACUGGCACU
rnacentral:rRNA from 1 species